UUAAGAAGCUGCUCUUUUAACUUAGUGGCGGACGGGUGAGUAACGCGUGAGUACCUGCCUUUCAGAGGGGAAUAACAUUCUGAAAAGAAUGCUAAUACCGCAUGAGAUCGCAUGGUCAAAGGAAUCCGCUGAAAGAUGGACUCGCGUCCGAUUAGCUAGUUGGUGAGAUAAAGGCCCACCAAGGCACGAUCGGUAGCCGGACUGAGAGGUUGAACGGCCACAUUGGGACUGAGACACGGCCCAGACUCCUACGGGAGGCAGCAGUGGGGGAUAUUGCACAAUGGGGGAAACCCUGAUGCAGCAACGCCGCGUGAAGGAAGAAGGUCUUCGGAUUGUAAACUUCUGUCCUCAGGGAAGAUAAGACGGUACCUGAGGAGGAAGCUCCGGCUAACUACGUGCCAGCAGCCGCGGUAAUACGUAGGGAGCAAGCGUUGUCCGGAUUUACUGGGUGUAAAGGGUGCGUAGGCGGAUCUCAAGUCAGUAGUGAAAUCCCAGGGCUUAACCCUGGAACUGCUAUUGAAACUGUGGGUCUUGAGUGAGGUAGAGGCAGGCGGAAUUCCCGGUGUAGCGGUGAAAUGCGUAGAGAUCGGGAGGAACACCAGUGGCGAAGGCGGCCUGCUGGGCCUUAACUGACGCU
rnacentral:rRNA from 1 species